GAUGAACGCUAGCGACAGGCCUAACACAUGCAAGUCGAGGGGCAGCACAAGGUAGCAAUACUGAGGUGGCGACCGGCGCACGGGUGAGUAACGCGUAUGCAACCUGCCUGUAACAGGGGAAUAGCCUCUUGAAAGAGAGAUUAAUGCCGCAUAAUACGAGAUUCGGGCAUCCGGAUUUAGUUAAACAUUUAUGGGUUACAGAUGGGCAUGCGUUUCAUUAGGUAGUUGGUGAGGUAACGGCUCACCAAGCCGACGAUGAAUAGGGGUUCUGAGAGGAAGGUCCCCCACACUGGUACUGAGACACGGACCAGACUCCUACGGGAGGCAGCAGUGAGGAAUAUUGGUCAAUGGACGCAAGUCUGAACCAGCCAAGUCGCGUGAAGGAUGAAGGUAUUAUGUAUUGUAAACUUCUUUUGUCAGGGAAUAAUGGGUGUCACGUGUGACGCAGAGGAAUGUACCUGACGAAUAAGCAUCGGCUAACUCCGUGCCAGCAGCCGCGGUAAUACGGAGGAUGCGAGCGUUAUCCGGAUUUAUUGNGUUUAAAGGGUGCGUAGGCGGNUUGUUAAGUCAGUGGUGAAAGUUUGCGGCUCAACCGUAAAAUUGCCAUUGAAACUGGCGAACUUGANUACAGUA
rnacentral:rRNA from 1 species